rnacentral:rRNA from 1 species
AUGACAUCCGCGGAUUUAGCGGAUUGUGUUCUGGGGGAAAAUAUGGGGAUAGCGCAGGAUGUGUAUUUGUUCCCUAAUCAAUUGGUAAACCCUUCUUCUGGAUUGAAUGGUAGAGAGAGGAAUCAGUGGGGAGCGACUAUGUCAGUGAUUUUACCUUUGGAAACACUGAAUUUUAAUUACUGUGAAGGCAAUAGAGAAAAUUAUGCUGCUAUUACUUGGAAACGGCGUAUUUAUGGUGUUUCAAUUUCCUUUUUUAUUAAGAUUAUCAAUUACGCCCGGGUGGCAGAGGAUUGUUCUAUAGAUUUAGCAGGUUAUCCUUUCCUUCCGGUUGUCAGUACGAGAGGUCAGCGGGAUUUGAAGGAGGAGCCGAUCUUGUUCCCAUAUCCUUCCGUUCGUGGAUCAUCUGGGGGAGAGACAGCUGUUUGUGCUGUAGUUAUUAGGAAACUGCCCUUUUUAUGGCAUUUUAAUCAUGGUUAA